CCUACGGGGGGCUGCAGUGGGGGAUAUUGCACAAUGGGGGCAACCCUGAUGCAGCGACGCCGCGUGAGCGAUGGAGUACUUCGGUAUGUAAAGCUCUGUCAGCAGGGAAGAGAAUGACGGUACCUGACCAAGAAGCCCCGGCUAAAUACGUGCCAGCAGCCGCGGUAAUACGUAGGGGGCGAGCGUUGUCCGGAAUGACUGGGCGUAAAGGGAGUGUAGGCGGCAUAUUAAGUUAUGUGUGAAAGCCCGCGGCUCAACCGCGGAAUUGCACAUAAAACUGGUAAGCUGGAGUGCAGGAGAGGUAAGUGGAAGUCCCGGUGUAGCGGUGGAAUGCGUAGAUAUCGGGAGGAACACCAGAGGCGAAGGCGACUUACUGGACUGUAACUGACGCUGAGGCUCGAAAGCGUGGGGAGCAAACAGGAUUAGAUACCCUUGUAGUC
rnacentral:rRNA from 1 species